GCUCUAGUAGAGCAUGCAUCAUCAAUUUUGCCAGCAACAAAAACAUAUCAUCUAGGGAUGGUCAGAAACGAGGAGACACUUCAACCAUCAAUAUAUCUUAACAAGUGGCACAAUAGUGGCAGCUCUCAACCUGAUAAAGAAAUGUGGGGUUGAGAAUAGGCAAAUUAAAGUGGUAAU